AAGCAUGCAAACUUUUCCACAUUUCCAGGAUCUUGCGUCUGAGCCCUGGAGGUCCUGCGUGCUGACUGUGAAGAGGCAGGAAGGGCAUGGCCUGUGGGGUCCUCACCCUUUGGUCGUCAAGCAACUCUUCAUUUACAAAUGGGAAAUCCACAACAUUGGUCAAGAAGAAAAGGCACCAUGAAUGGGAAGACCGAAGUGCAGACAACCAGCUGGAACAAGGGUGAAAAUAUAGGAGAUUACGAUCCAUUCCUGGGUGGACGGCCAGCGUUCCAUCUUCACUAACACGAUAUAGUUGAAGAGCAUCAGGUAUCCGAUAUACGCCAGCUGUAAGGAGACACAAUACAGUGCUCUGGCUGUUCAGGCCCAGGAGCCCCAGCAUCAGCCAAGGCCACUGCACAGCAGCACAGAGCAGGGUCAGCAAGCAGGACACAGACUUUAUGACAAAAGGAACUUGAAGGUGCUAAACUAACAAAAGAAUUAGAAAAGACAGUAAUACUUGAAGGAUUAUAAUAUGCAAUCUUCCUUUUGACCUGUACAUGUAUCUCUGGGGCUCUGGUGCUUCGUUUAAAUCUAUGUGUCAUGAUGCAUCAUUUCGCCUUGCAGUUACCCAUUUUUGUGUGUUUUCUUGGCUAAAAAGGGAGCCUUGGCUGUCAGUGGCGGCUCUUGCUCAGGCGUGGACCUUAGGUUCUUAAACUAGGGCAGCACAGUGGAUUUUUGCCUCACGAAUGCCAGGCAGAAUAAGUGUCUGUGAGAAGCAAAGGAAGAGGAAGACACAUGUAACACCUGUAAAUUGGUCAAACCAACAUAAAAAUAGCCCAGGCUUAAAGUGCUUCGCUUGUCAGUGCCCUGGGAGGGUCUUACCUGUUUUCAUUUCACCACUUUCCUGUCCUAAUCAAGUUAAGAUAAGAUAUUCCUUCCUGGUGUCUGCUUCAUUGAAACAACACAAGAAAAGACAACACAGUUUACAGAAAGGAAAGGGUCCGUGUGGCCUUUUGUGGACGGGUGUGGGGUUUAAUCCCCAAGAGGCUCUGGCUCGUGGGGUUGAAUCCUGAUGUGACUGGCUGAAUUGCUGGAUGUCUGGGAAGAACUCCCUAGGGUUUGGUGACUGCUCCUGGAAGAUUCAGUUGUGUCAAGGUGAGUGAAGUGCAGGGAAACUGGUGGCUCUUGCAUAAGGGGCUGAGGAGCCUUGAGAGAAGACUCACUCACCUUAAGGGAAAUGGCAGACUAGCUGGGCCUUCCUUACACAAUGCCUCAAGUCAAGUGAGGUACUCACUGGCCUUAGGGGCCUCAGGGGCUGUGAGCAGGAACCAAGAGGGAGUUUAUUAACUAAAAUCUGCUGCACUCUUCAGAGUGGUGUAGCAAAGAAUAGACACAGUGUGGGUGAAAGGAUUGAGGCCUUGAGGGGUCUGGAGGUACUGCAUGACUUUGUAGCUGGGAAGGCAGCUUAGAAGGUGGAGGAAGCUGCAGCCUUGCUGGGGGAUAUGCUGCUUUCUCUACUAAUUCUCUUAUGUUUUGGGACAGGGUCUCACUCUCGUCACCCAGGCUGGAGUGCAGUGGCAUUGUGAUCUCGGCUCAUUGUAGCAUUGACUUCCUGGGCUCAGGUAAUUCUCCUACUUCAGCCUCCUGGGUAGCUGGGAUAACAG
rnacentral:lncRNA from 1 species